rnacentral:rRNA from 1 species
CCUACGGGGGGCAGCAGUGGGGAAUAUUGCGCAAUGGGGGCAACCCUGACGCAGCAACGCCGCGUGAUUGAAGAAGGCCUUCGGGUUGUAAAGAUCUUUAAUUGGGGACGAAACAAAUGACGGUCCCCAACGAAUAAGCUCCGGCUAACUACGUACCAGCAGCCGCGGUAAUACGUAGGGAGCAAUCGUUCUCCGGAGUUACUGGGUGUAAGGGGGGAGGAGGCGGGCUGGAAAGUUGGGAUGGAAAUCCCGGGGCUUAACCCCGGAACUGCUUUCAAAACUGCUGGUCUUGAGUGAUGGAGAGGCAGGCGGAAUUCCGUGUGUAGCGGUGAAAUGCGUAGAUAUACGGAGGAACACCAGUGGCGAAGGCGGCCUGCUGGACAUUAACUGACGCUGAGGAGCGAAAGCUUGGGUAGCAAACAGGAUUAGAUACCCCGGUAGUC